UAAUACAGAGGGUGCGAGCGUUAAUCGGAUUUACUGGGCGUAAAGCGUGCGUAGGCGGCUUUUUAAGUCGGAUGUGAAAUCCCUGAGCUUAACUUAGGAAUUGCAUUCGAUACUGGGAAGCUAGAGUAUGGGAGAGGAUGGUAGAAUUCCAGGUGUAGCGGUGAAAUGCGUAGAGAUCUGGAGGAAUACCGAUGGCGAAGGCAGCCAUCUGGCCUAAUACUGACGCUGAGGUACGAAAGCAUGGGGAGCAAACAGGAUUAGAUACCCUGGUAGUCCAUGCCGUAAACGAUGUCUACUAGCCGUUGGGGCCUUUGAGGCUUUAGUGGCGCAGCUAACGCGAUAAGUAGACCGCCUGGGGAGUACGGUCGCAAGACUAAAACUCAAAUGAAUUGACGG
rnacentral:rRNA from 1 species